UUCUAGAAUGCACAAUCUUCUCUUAGGCAUCCCACUAAAGCCUCUCCUCCUCUGCCCAUCGCAUGCCAGAGCAACAUCAACUACAAAUAGCUUCUGUGAGAUUUAGCACCAACGACAGAGAAGGAAUGCAGGAUGAAAUUUUGGCUCAAGACCCAAGAAGCAUCCUAAUCUCCAGCAGAAAACCACAAUAGCUUACUUUCUUUACUUCUUCAGUCUCUUACAGGAGCUAUGACAGUUUCUUACAAUUUUUUUUUUAAGAUUCAAACACUCCAAGGAUCAGCAGUGGACAAGUUAAUGAGAAAUACAAUUGUUGCUGCUGGAGGUAAAGAGCUGAUCACGGUGACAGAAAGAGUGAACAGGACAGAUGGAGGAGAAGCAAUAAUGAAGGAAAUAACAGAAGGAAAAUUCCCUCAACUGUAAGCAAUGGACCGGCUCCCAGGGAUGCCUCACCCCUAGUCCAAGCAGUUGGAUCAUGUGGUCUUCAUGCUUCCAGCCUCUGAAACUCAACAGUCUACUAUUACCAACAUUUGGGCCAAACCAGCAGGGAGUGCUGAGGACUGUGGCAAACUGGAGAGCGAGUGCUCUGACUGAAGGAAAACAGUCACUACUCAUCUCUAGCCAGUACUUCCCAUGGGAACCUUGACCCACAGAGGCCAGGUUUUCCAGUUUUUAAAGAAAAAGAAAUUCAAAAUUUAUUGCUCCACAUGGAUGUGUGACACAGUUCUGGCAAAUGAAAUAAAAUGGGAACUUACUGAGAAUUUCUGGGAAAGCUUUUGCUUUCAGAUCACCCCCUUCUUUCUGCCUGAGCACCCAGAGAUGACAAUAGAAAGAGAACAGCCAUCUUGCAACCAUAGGUAAUGAGUUCAACAACCAAAGCACCAACAUAUUAAGAACAGGGGAAUGGAAACCCAGCCCUGAGUCCUUGAUGGUACCUGUGGUCUGCCACACCAUCCCUGGACCCUCUAUCUCUGGACUUCUUGUUAUGUGAGAUUAAAGUCUCAUCAUCAUCAUCAUCAUCAUCAUCAUCAUCAUCAUCAUCAUCCUUUAAGUGUCUGGGUGGCCCUAGGCACAAUCCAGGACUCAUUUCUUUGCCAGAUCCCAGGAAGCCAUCAAUUACCCUUGCACAUGCAGCCCAUUCGAAGGAUGGAUAUUACCUUCUGCGCUCACCGCAGAGCUGCGUAUCUCUAUCCAAGCACAGAUGGAAGACAAGGGCAUGGGGUUAAUUGAUCAAGCAGCACCAGCUCCUGUGCAAGGGUUGGCAUAAAAUGGCUUGUUUCGCAGAUGCACAGACCCAUUGCUCGCCAGUCUCCCGUGACUAAACCAGGUCACUAACACGCUUUUGAACAAACACA